rnacentral:tRNA from 1 species
GCCGGGGUGGCCGAGCGGUCCAAGGCGGCGGGCUCGAGACCCGUUGUCCCACCAAGGACGCGUGGGUUCAAAUCCCACCCCCGGCG